CACGUAGGGCGCAAGCGUUGUCCGGAAUUAUUGGGCGUAAAGAGCUCGUAGGCGGUCUGUUACGUCUGCUGUGAAACCCGGGGCUUAACCCUGGGCUUGCAGUGGAUACGGGCAGACUAGAGGCAGGUAGGGGAGAAUGGAAUUCCCGGUGUAGCGGUGAAAUGCGCAGAUAUCGGGAGGAACAUCGGUGGCGAAGGCGGUUCUCUGGCCUGACCUGACGCUGAGGAGCGAAAGCGUGGGGAGCGAACAGG
rnacentral:rRNA from 1 species